UUAAAAACGGGAGUUUUUCUGCACAGCUCUCUCUUUGCCUGCUGCCAUCCGCAAAAGAUGUGACUUGCUUCGCCUUGCCUUCCGCCAUGAUUGUGAGGCUUCCCCAGCCACGUGGAACUGCACAUACCCCGCUGUCCCCCUAAAGAAUGUCUGCUCUGUGGACCUGCAGAUGUACAAAGAGGAUGACAAUUAUUAUGUGAUGUGUUGAAAUAAACAGUGUUCUGGAAGCUUAGAGAAAGGAAUAAUUAACUCAAUGAAGAGGAAGCCUUUACAGAGGUGGCAACAUCAGAAUGAGGUGCACAGCUUGUGAAAGAAGAUGUGGUGAAGCCUCUUGCUUAGUGCUCCUCACACUGGAUCUGACCGCUGACCACUCGGAUGAACUAGAAACCCAGAGCUGAGAGGAGCGGGGAAGAGGCAGCGCUCACUGCAAGGCCAUGCUCUGCCUUCCCUCCAACAACAGGCUGUUUCCUUCACCUCCAAAGUUCCUUUGUGCCCACAAGCAAAGUAGAGAUGCUACCUAGUGCAGUAUGGCAGCACUCCCUAGCAGACCAUUUAAUUCCUGGUCCCCAAAGCAUUGGACCCAAAUGCUUAAAAAAGCAUUCUGCAAUUCACAAACUCAGAUGG
rnacentral:lncRNA from 1 species